CAGUCGCGAACCCGCGACCAAGUCUACGAUCCUACUCGGCGAGUCUAGGCUCCAACUCGCCGAGUCCCCUCUUAAAUCACCCCCAAAAACAUAAUUUAAUAAUACCUGAGAUUCCGGGCUGUUACAGCCAUAAUGACCAUAAUCAUCAUAACAAGGUAACAUAAAUUGUUACCAACAAAAUCCAUAUAUGUUGACCAUAUUGACCAAUACCAUUUACAAAAGGGGUACUAAUGUUUGGGUAUAGCAUAUAUGUUGACCAGAUUGACCCAUACCAUUUACAUACUCUCAUAUUGAGUAUACAUGUUAAUUAUCAAAUGGGUUAAGAUCACAAAAUAUCAACUUACUUACUAGAGAACCACAAUAGUAGCUUUUUAAAAGCUUUUGCAAACCAAAAAGCUUUUAAGAAAUGAAAAAGCUAUUGGAUGAGCUUUUUCAAAGAACUUGUUAAUUAACAAGCUCUUGCAAUGAGCUUUUUUAAUUGUUGUGUAGUUCCCAAAUUGUGGAUGCUUGUGAUCACAUUGGUGUUGUCCACUCGGUAAAAGGAAGAUACUAAAUGGCAAAAAGGAAGAUACUAAAUGGCACGUAGUACUACUAAUACUAUUUAAUUUCACAUAUAUUAUUAUAUGAUCAUGUUGAUUAAACUUUAGGCCUUUUGGUCUUUUUUUCCAUUAUACUUUUUUUUUGCAGGAUGUUGUUCCUAAAUACUCUACUAUGUGUGAUGUGGUGUGGAUAGAUGCAGAGGAUCCACUUUUUCUUCUUUGUACAAGUGGAAGAACCGAAAAGCCGAAGGGUGUUCUGCAUAACACACAGGAGAAUACAUGAUCAAAUAUGCAUUUGAUUACAAAGAAUCUGAUAUGGCAUUGCACUUUCCGAGGCAAUUGGAAUUGACUAUACUGACACUGAAGAGCUGGAGUUGUUGGUUACAACGCUAACUGAUCUUAAUACAAUGGAUGGUAAAUGGAAUGUGUCUUUAUUGACAGAGUGUUCAAGUUCUCUUGAUGUGAAUACAAGAUUGGAACAUUAUUGCGGAAAAGCAUUGGCUAAUGCUUUGUCAGCUGCACCAUCGAUGUGGACCCUUGGCAAUGCAGGCAUGAGAGCGUUAUAGCAUUUGAUUUCCAAAGCUCUUGGGUGGUACCAACAACUUUAUUGAUAAGGUUGGUUGCAUGCGAUCAAAAAAGGGCCAAUGGCACCAGAGACCAUGAAGGAAAAAGUAAGUAGAACUUGGUUCGCCUAAUUCCAUGGGAUUUAACGGGAAUCGGAAUCCAAUUCCAUUAUGGUCCUUCUUUCGGAUGCUAUGCAAGAUAUGAAGCAAUGGAGAAUAUGUAUGUGGAAAUGCAAAAUAUGAGACAAAAUUGAGAUUAUGGUACAUUAUACUUAGAAAUAAAUAUCAAUCAAUAUUAAACUUUGAUA